rnacentral:lncRNA from 1 species
UCCUGGGGGGCCCUGACCCUCCGUCCAGGCCAGGCGAAGGGCCGAAAAGCAGGCGGUAGACCUGAGUGCAAGGGGGUCGCGGUUCAGCUGGGGCUCCAGCCCUGCACCCCCAGGGGAGUCAGCAGAGCGCCAGGGCGGGGGUCCAGGCUGGGGGCUCCCCCAGGAGCAGACACAGGAGCCCUGCACCCCGUGGGAGCCAGGGGAGGGCCAGGGCGGGGGACUCCCAGGAGAAGACACAGGCGCCCCACUGAGGCUUCCAGCCCUCACCUCGGGCAGGUCCACCUGGGCGGCCAGCAGGGCCCGGGCCGCACUGUCAGGCAGCGACAGGUUCUGCGUCAGGAAGCGCCGCAGCUCCCGCCUGUCCCUGGCCACCGAGUCCAGAGAGAAGGAGGACACUGGACAGACAGACGGACGGGGCUGAAGGCCGGCCCCACCCGGGGCCAGAGUGCCCCAGAGGGCCUCCGAGCUGAGCUCCCAGCAGCUCCCACUGUGGCUGGGCCACAGUGACGGGCAGCGGGCGCUUGGUGAGCACCGGGCAGGGGUGUGGGCGUGGGGCCUGCGGCAGGAAGCGCCUGAACCCGGCUUCAAACCCUGCUGACCCCCGGCCCGCCCCGGGGCGCACCUGCAGGUCGGGCCGCGGGGCCGUCCCAGGGGUCCGGGCCGGCGCUGAGGGCCUCCAGGUGCUGGCGCAGCACCUCCAGCUCCGAGCCCAGGCUGGGCCUCGCCGGGUCAAACAGGUUGCCCUCCUCCACCACACGGUUGAGGCGCUCCAGCAGCUGUGUGACCCUGCAGCAACGCCGGCCGUCACCCGCAGGCCGCCAGGCCCGGAGAGGGGCCGCCGGGGGGCGGGGCCCGGGGCGGGGAAUCUGGGGGCGGGGCCCAGGCCCGGGGUGGGGCCGCCGGGGGCGGGGCACUCACGUGGAGUUGGCGUACUGAAGGAAGCCGAACUCGUCCCGCUGGCCGUCGGGGCACAGCGACUGCAUGACCGGCAGGAUGCCGGCGGAGAGAUGGUGGGCUUCUUCUGCCGAAGCCCCAGCAGGAUGAAAAACAGGACGAGCGGGAUGAAGAUCUCGAAGGCCAAGACCCACUGGAAAGGGUGGGCGGAGUGAGGCCACCUGCCCAGGGCUGGACAGGACACACCCAAACUCCCCUCGCCCUCACAGACCAGGGCCAGCCCAGCCCCACUGGACCCUGCAUGCCCC